rnacentral:rRNA from 1 species
GGUUAAGCGACUAAGCGUACACGGUGGAUGCCCUGGCAGUCAGAGGCGAUGAAGGACGUGCUAAUCUGCGAAAAGCGUCGGUAAGGUGAUAUGAACCGUUAUAACCGGCGAUGUCCGAAUGGGGAAACCCAGUGUGAUUCGUCACACUAUCGUUAACUGAAUACAUAGGUUAACGAGGCGAACCGGGGGAACUGAAACAUCUAAGUACCCCGAGGAAAAGAAAUCAACCGAGAUUCCCCCAGUAGCGGCGAGCGAACGGGGAGCAGCCCAGAGUCUGAAUCAGCUUGUGUGUUAGUGGAACGGUCUGGAAAGUCCGACGGUACAGGGUGCUAGGCCCGUACACCAAAUUUGACAGGCUGAGACCUCUCAGAGUAGGGGGGGAUGUUGGGCAUCCUGUCUGAAG